ensembl:lncRNA
UGAUAGUAAAACUGAGCUGGCUUUGUAUGCGUCCCUCGUUAGUAGUUAGUUAGGCCGCCAGUUUGUAUAAUUCUGUACUCGAGAUGGUGUCUUCAGGUACUGCUUUUUGUCCUUUGUUACAUUUAAAGUAGCUUUUGUUGCUGAAUCAUGAGAUAUUCUGGUUCUCUAAGCAAAUUCCAUUUUCCUUAAGGUACUCUGGAACUGUACCUUUAACAAUUCCCGGAGAGAUGUCCUGCCAGGGUAAUUGACAAACACAUCACUAAUAGGUAGAGGUUUAAAUCUUAGCGUCCUUCUUCCUUAUCCUGUAGUUCUCAUUGUUUAUACAAAAAUCGCAAUUGCUGUCUUAGAUUUAGGAUGCGUUAUAGACUGAUGGAACAAUUCUCUAGUUCUUUAUAUCUAGAAUGGGACUCAUUAUACUUAUCUGCCACAUUCUUUCUCAUGUUUCACAUGCUUUACUAACAUUAACUAAUUAAUAUUUAAAUCAGAUUCUUUUCCUGUAGGCUUUCGAAGCUGUGAAUCACGGGCUUUUUUUUUUUUCCCCAUACAACACUGUAUUUGUGCAGAAAUUAUUUGCUGUGACACUUAAGGUUGAUGCACUUUGAAAGAUAUAUGUAAGAGAUGCUAAAUUAUCUAAUUGAAACAAUAUUUGGGAAUCAGUUUUACAGUAAUCAUUGAAUCACUCGUUAACAGUAUUUACUGAGCACCUGCUGUGUGCAGGCUCUGUAAUAUUGGGGAGACAGGAUGUUGGGGAGACAGGGUAAAUAUUUUUCCUGCUUUUAUGGUUCUUAAGGUGCAGUGGGUAUUUCGACGAGAAAACAGGGCACAGCGGUGCAGCACGGUGCUGUGGCGAGGGCCCUGGAGCCCAGAGCUGGGGUGUUUGAAAGACCUUCUGGGGGCAGCAGGGCAGGCGCUCCCUGCAGAGCGCCACUUGCCCCCCCCCACCCCCACACCAAACACCGAUGGAAGAGCAUGUUCUGUUACAGGAACGGCGUGAAGUUCAGCGAGACUGGAGGAGGGAGAGUGGUAGCCGGUGGGCUGAGGUGCAGGACACGAGCCGGGAGAGACCCUCCAGGCCUCAGUGCCCGUGCUGAGGAUGUGCGGAGCCCAAAACUGGGGACGACUCGUCCGUGGCGUGUCUUUAGAGAGAGUGUCAGGUCAGAGGAGGUUGAAAGGGCUUUCCGGGGUGCCAGCCAGAUGGCUGAGUGCCGCUUGGAGGCACAAGGGGAGUCCCAGUGAGACACAGAGGUGGCCCUAGCUUGGGUGCGGCCGGGGAAGAGCAGAUGGGCAUGGAGAGCUUUGGGAGGCAGCAGGACUUGGGGAUGGGAUGCAGGAUGCAAAAGGAGGGGCGGGUUCACGUGGGCUUCAGGUUCUGGCUUAAGGCCCCAGCGCUGGGGAGGAGCAGGAGAGCAGGACAGAACCUGCUUCAGGUCAGGUUCCAGCCAAGCUGGAGGUGCCUCUUGGGAUCUAGCCAGGGAUGUCCAACAGGUGGCCGAGUAGGUAGGUUCCAAGUGGAGAAGAACGAGGCUGGCCAGGAAGAUGUAUAUAACAGCUGCCAACAUUUAAAUUCAGUCAAGAUCAGCUAAUUCUGCUCUGAGAGACCUGAAUAAGGUAAGUAUUAAGACAUUGGCCUUUUGAGUAGACGGCUCUGACUUUGACUCUCACCUGAGAUUCCUCAUCUGUAAAAUGAUGACAGCAGUAUUGCUCACUUGUAUCCUUGCAAAGGUUAACACGGAAGGGGACCGCGGGCCUGGCGCAGAGCACGCCUUCAGCGAGCUACCUGUUACUGUCAGGUAUUCUAAAAUGAACAGUUGUGCUUAAUACCUGGAGGAGACCAGGCACGACGUGAGCAUUUGUGUGGCGCACACGCAGGUGAACCUGUAGGCACGCAGACUCACGCCUGUGUAGAUACGCCCCUCAUAGACAAACCUGUCAGCAGGUUGUGCUGGGGACCCAAACCAGUGGCUGUUUCCUUCACCUGGCGUCUGCGGCUUUGUCAGAACCUGGCCCUGUGCUUGGACGUGCUCCGAUCUGUCUUGUUCUCUUGUACAGACUAGUUGCCGUUCCCUCCUCUCUCUCAGGCUGUGGACAGACUUCCUUUUUUGCAACCAUAUACAGCACCCUCCCUUACUUGGCCAUAUUAAUAUUUGAGUUUUCUGUGUUGGAUAAUUCUAACAAAUCAUAAUGUGCUGUGGAUCUCAGGGAAACAGUUCAGCAGGCAUGAGGUCCAGGGACAUAUGCUGAAAUUGAUUAAAUUCAGUCAUGUCAGCAUGGGCAUGAACUUUGAGGAGAAAUAAGAUACUUUACUUUUGGUGCGUUGUGGAUAGUGGUCUCUUUUCUGUGCGUACGCUGGUUAAGCCUCUUCUGCGUUCCGGGCACACACUUUCCGCAGGAGAUCCCAGGGGCGGUCCUUCUUUAUGAACACACUCAUCUGGCAGGCAGAGUGGAAGGCCUCCUGAGUCCUUGGAAGUUAAAGAUCUGGAUUGAAUAAUAGGGUUUCUAAUAGGUAGUUGGUGUCACAGUCUCUAUUCUCUGGCAUCUCAUUCUUUUGUGUUUGUUAUAAGGGUUUGGGCACUGGACGUGAGGGGCCAUCUUCGAGAGUGGAGCCUCCAUAGCUGUGGGUUAAUCACUCCAGUCCUUGUUUGUGCUUAUUGUAUCAUGAAGAUACUUCUGAUCAUAAGCAUAGCUAACAUCCCAAGAAAAAUUCUAAAUGAGAGGAGGAGUUCAUGCGUAUUGUCAUUUUUAAGAUGCUUUGUCAUAUAUUUAGCAUGACUGAGUACCUGUUUAAUUUCUAGUAAUCAUCAAUAUUCAUUAUUAGAAAAAACAGUUUUUUAAAAAUAAUAUGCUGAAAUAUGGGUAUCAUUGUCCUAUGGAUGUUAGAGAAAAAAAACUAGGAGGUAUUUUUUAGCAUUAUGGAGAAAUUCUUUUUUCCAUUAUAUUGUUGUUAAACAUUAGAAAUUAAUGUUUAAAACCAAGGAAAAUUAACCCUCUCUCCGC